rnacentral:rRNA from 1 species
ACCUACGGGGGGCAGCAGUAGGGAAUCUUCCACAAUGGGCGAAAGCCUGAUGGAGCAACGCCGCGUGGGUGAAGAAGGUCUUCGGAUCGUAAAACCCUGUUGUUAGAGAAGAAAGUGCGUGAGAGUAACUGUUCACGUUUCGACGGUAUCUAACCAGAAAGCCGCGGCUAACUACGUGCCAGCAGCCGCGGUAAUACGUAGGUGGCAAGCGUUAUCCGGAUUUAUUGGGCGUAAAGGGAACGCAGGCGGUCUUUUAAGUCUGAUGUGAACGCCUUCGUCUUAACCGGAGUAGUGCAUUGGAAACU